AUAUUGGUCAAUAGCCUAACGGCUGAACCAGCAACUUGGAGGAAUGUAUGGCAAUAGCUGGUUGCAUUAACAAAAAGUUAGUGUAAGAUCGACUCUGUCGAAUAAAAUUCUAGAUAGAAUUUUGAUAAUGACAUUAUCUAUCUAUGUGUCUUGACCAAAUUACGUGCCAGCAGUCGCGGUAAUACGUAAAAGACUAGUGUUAUUCAUCUUUAAUAGGUUUAAAGGGUACUUAGACGGUAAAUCAAGCCCUAAUAGGGAACUAAUAUACUAGAGUUUGAUGUAAGGAAGCAUGAAAGUACUGUUGGUGUAGAGAUAAAAUUCUAUCAUACCAAAUAUGGCACAGGUUUAGGCGAAAGCAUCUUCUUAUGUAAUAACUGACGUUGAAGGACGAAGGCUUUGUGUCUCGAACAGGAUUAGAUACCCCAGUAGUCUAAGCAGACAAUGAUGAAUGUCAUAGAUUAGAUUUAAUUUAUUCUAUAAAUGAAAGUGUAAGCAUUCCACCUCAAGAGUAAUUUGGCAACAUUGGAACUGAAAUCAUUAGACCGUUUCUGAAACCAGUAGUGAAGUAUGUUAUUUAAUUCAUUAAUCCGA
rnacentral:rRNA from 1 species